AUUGAACGCUGGCGGCAUGCCUAACACAUGCAAGUCGAGCGAGCGGCGGACGGGUGAGUAAUGUAUGGGGACUGCCCGAUAGAGGGGGAUAACUACUGGAACCGGUGGCUAAUACCGCAUACUAUCGGAUAACCCAUAUGGGAUUAGAUAGUGGGGGGGGUAAAGGCGCACCUAGGCGACGAUCCCUAGCUGGUCUGAGAGGAUGAUCAGCCACACUGGGACUGAGACACGGCCCAGACGCCGACGGAGGCAGCAGUGGGGAAUAUUGCACAAUGGGCGAAAGUCUGAUGCAGCCAUGCCGCGUGUAUGAAGAAGGCCUUCGGGUUGUAAAGUACUUUCAGUAGGGAGGCGUUACCGACAGAAGAAGCACCGGCUAACUCCGUGCCAGCAGCCGCGGUAAUUC
rnacentral:rRNA from 1 species